GCUUAACCGGAGAAGUGCAUCGGAAACUGGAUAACUUGAGUGCAGAAGAGGGUAGUGGAACUCCAUGUGUAGCGGUGGAAUGCGUAGAUAUAUGGAAGAACACCAGUGGCGAAGGCGGCUACCUGGUCUGCAACUGACGCUGAGACUCGAAAGCAUGGGUAGCGAACAGGAUUAAAUACCCUGGUAGUCCAUGCCGUAAACGAUGAGUGCUAGGUGUUGGAGGGUUUCCGCCCUUCAGUGCCGGAGCUAACGCAUUAAGCACUCCGCCUGGGGAGUACGACCGCAAGGUUGAAACUCAAAGGAAUUGACGGGGGCCCGCACAAGCGGUGGAGCAUGUGGUUUAAUUCGAAGCUACGCGAAGAACCUUACCAGGUCUUGACAUCUUGCGCCAACCCUAGAGAUAGGGCGCUUCCUUCGGGAACGCAAUGACAGGUGGUGCAUGGUCGUCGUCAGCUCGUGUCGUGAGAUGUUGGGUUAAGUCCCGCAACGAGCGCAACCCUUGUUACUAGUUGCCAGCAUUAAGUUGGGCACUCUAGUGAGACUGCCGGUGACAAACCGGAGGAAGGUGGGGACGACGUCAGAUCAUCAUGCCCCUUAUGACCUGGGCUACACACGUGCUACAAUGGACGGUACAACG
rnacentral:rRNA from 1 species